UACGAGGGGGACAAGUGUUGUUCGGAAUCACUGGGCGUAAAGGGAGCGUAGGCGGUUGUUCAAGUCAGAGGUUUAAUUUUCGGGCCUAACCCGAAGCUUGCCUUUGAAACUGGAUAACUAGAGUAGAGUAGAGGUAGACGGAAUUCCUAGUGUAGCGGUGGAAUGCGUAGAUAUUAGGAAGAACACCAGUUGCGAAGGCGGUCUACUGGACUUUUACUGACGCUGAGGCUCGAAAGCGUGGGGAGCAAACAGG
rnacentral:rRNA from 1 species